rnacentral:rRNA from 1 species
CCCUUAGAUGUCCUGGGCCGCACGCGCGCUACACUGACAUGUUCAACAAGUUUCUCCUAGUUCGACAGGACUGGGAAAUCUUUGAACGCAUGUCGUGAUAGGGAUAGAUCAUUGCAAUUAUUGGUCUUGAACGAGGAAUUCCUAGUAAACGCGAGUCAUCAGCUCGCAUUGAUUACGUCCCUGCCCUUUGUACACACCGCCCGUCGCACCUACCGAUUGAAUGUUUCGGUGAAGAUUCCGGAUAGGACUGAUUUGAUUUAUUUCAUUUCUGACCUAAAAGCUAUCUAAACCUCAACAUUUAGAGGAAGGUGAAGUCGUAACA